ACAUGGACUCUCUGGGGAGCUUGUUAGAUUGUAGAUUGAUUCAGUCUGUCUGGGCUAGGGUCUGAGAGUCUGCAGUUCUAACAAGUUUCCAGGUAAUGCCAAA
rnacentral:miRNA from 1 species